UGGGUGAUCUGCCCUGCACUCUGGGAUAAGCCUGGGAAACUGGGUCUAAUACCGGAUAUGAUCAUGGCCUGCAUGGGUUGUGGUGGAAAGCUUUUGCGGUGUGGGAUGGGCCCGCGGCCUAUCAGCUUGUUGGUGGGGUUAUGGCCUACCAAGGCGACGACGGGUAGCUGGUCUGAGAGGAUGGCCAGCCACAGUUGGGACUGAGACACGGCCCAGACCUCUACGGGA
rnacentral:rRNA from 1 species